GCCUGAGAUACAUACUUCUUUACAUUCCAUAGCUGCUCUUGUUCAUAUGGGCAUAUAAAGAAGUAUGUCUCCCAAGC
rnacentral:pre_miRNA from 1 species